rnacentral:sRNA from 1 species
UGUAGAUGAACCGGCAGUGCGUGGGCGA